UACGGGGGGAGCAAGCGUUGUUCGGAUUUACUGGGCGUAAAGGGCGCGUAGGCGGCGUGACAAGUCACUUGUGAAAUCUCCGGGCUUAACCCGGAGCGGCCAAGUGAUACUGUCGUGCUAGAGUGCGGAAGGGGCUACUGGAAUUCUCGGUGUAGCGGUGAAAUGCGUAGAUAUCGAGAGGAACACCUGCGGCGAAGGCGGGUAGCUGGGCCGACACUGACGCUAAGGCGCGAAAGCGUGGGGAGCGAACAGG
rnacentral:rRNA from 1 species